rnacentral:hammerhead_ribozyme from 1 species
AUCCAACUGAUGAGUCUCAAAUAGGACAAAAUGCGAGUCGUGGAU